rnacentral:lncRNA from 1 species
GAGAGAGAGAGAGAGAGAGAGAGAGAGAGAGAGAGAGAGAGAGAGAGAGAGAGAGAGAGAGAGAGUGGAACAGAGUGAGUGAAGAAAGAUUGAAAAAAAAGAAGAAAAUACGACACUAUCUGAAUCCCCAAUACCAUCGUGAUAGUUAAAUUCCGACGACGGGUUAUUUAAAAAACAGAUGUGUAUGAAGUUAAAAUGACGGGAAGUAAAAACCGUCCUCUUAUGUUUUUAUUACGUCGGUAUAAAACAGAGCCCUCCAAAAU